CAGUAGCCGCGGGAAUACAGAGGAUGCAAGCGUUAUCCGGAAUGAUUGGGCGUAAAGCGUCUGUAGGUGGCUUUUCAAGUCCGCCGUCAAAUCCCAGGGCUCAACCCUGGACAGGCGGUGGAAACUACCAAGCUGGAGUACGGUAGGGGCAAAGGGAAUUUCCUGUGGAGCGGUGAAAUGCGUUGAGAUCGGAAAGAACACCAACGGCGAAAGCACUCUGCUGGGCCGACACUGACACUGAGAGACGAAAGCUAGGGGAGCAAAUGGGAUUAGAGACCCCCGUAGUCCCUGUCUCUUAUAC
rnacentral:rRNA from 1 species